CCAGACGAAGCUGACGGCGCCGCCGAAUCAGCAGAGCCAACCUUCUACGAGGUGUCCACGCAGCCGGGAGUCGGCAAGAAGGAAGGUGCCGACUCGACGGAAUCGAUUGGCGCGACGGGCCAAACCGCUGAUGACGUCACCGAGGCCGUGACCGAAGCGGCUGGCGGGUCCGUCAGACGACGGCGCCAGGUGCGAACCACUGGUCCUCCACGGAGUAGCAGGA